CAGUAGCCGCGGGAAAACGAAGGGGGCUAGCGUUGUUCGGAUUUACUGGGCGUAAAGCGCACGUAGGCGGAUUCUUAAGUCAGAGGUGAAAUCCCAAGGCUCAACCUUGGAACUGCCUUUGAUACUGGGGAUCUUGAGUUCGGGAGAGGUGAGUGGAACUGCGAGUGUAGAGGUGAAAUUCGUAGAUAUUCGCAAGAACACCAGUGGCGAAGGCGGCUCACUGGCCCGAUACUGACGCUGAGGUGCGAAAGCGUGGGGAGCAAACAGGAUUAGAUACCCGUGUAGUCCCUGUCUCUUAUAU
rnacentral:rRNA from 1 species